rnacentral:rRNA from 1 species
GGGUCAGUAGGUUGGUCGUGCCACCGGUACGUACUGGUCUCACUGAUUCCUCCUUCCUGAAGAACCGUAAUGCCAUUAAUUUGGUGUUGCGGGGAAACAGGACUGUUACUUUGAAAAAAUUAGAGCGUUUAAAGCAAGCUAACGCUUGAAUACAUUAGCGUGGAAUAAUGAAAUAGGACGAUCGAUCCUAUUUUGUUGGUUUCUAGGAUUGACGUAAUGAUUAAUAGGGAUAUUGGG